UACAGAGGUCCCAAGCGUUGUUCGGAUUCACUGGGCAUAAAGGGUGCGUAGGCGGUCGGGUAAGUCUGAUGUGAAAUCUCACAGCUUAACUGUGAAACUGCAUUGGAUACUAUCCGGCUCGAGGAAUGGAGGGGAGACUGGAAUACUUGGUGUAGCAGUGAAAUGCGUAGAUAUCAAGUGGAACACCAGUGGCGAAGGCGAGUCUCUAGACAUUUCCUGACGCUGAGGCACGAAAGCCAGGGGAGCAAACGGG
rnacentral:rRNA from 1 species